AGGGGGGAGAGUGGGGAGAGGGGGGAGAGGGAGACUGAGGAGAGGGGAGAGUGGGGCGUGUGCGGAGAGUGGGGAGAGUGAGGAGACUGGGGAUAAGGGAGAGUGAGGAGAGGGGAGAGUGGGGAGAGUGAGGAGAGGGGAGAGCGGGGAGAGUGGGGAGAGGGGAGAGUGAGGAGAGGGAAGAGUGGGGAGAGGGAAGAGUGGGGAGAGUGGGGAGAGGGGAGAGUGAGGAGAGGGGAGAGUGGGGAGAGUGAGGAGAGGGGUGAGGGGGAGAGCGAGGAGAGGGGUGAGGGGGGAGAGUGAGGAGAGGGGAGAGUGGGGAGAGUGAGGAGAGGGGAGAGUGGGGAGAGUGGGGAGAGAGAGGGGAGAAGAGAGAGGGGAGAGUGGGGAGAGUGAGGAGAGUGGGGAGAGUGAGAAGAGGGGAGGUGG